GCAUAUCAAUAAGCGGAGGAAAAGAAACCAACCGGGAUUACCUCAGUAACGGCGAGUGAAGCGGUAACAGCUCAAAUUUGAAAUCUGGCUCCUCUGGAGUCCGAGUUGUAAUUUGUAGAAGAUGCUUUGGGUUGUGGGUUCGGCCUAAGUUCCUUGGAACAGGACGUCAUAGAGGGUGAGAAUCCCGUAUGUGGCCGAGGCCCGCGCCUAUGUAAAGCUCUUUCAACGAGUCGAGUUGUUUGGGAAUGCAGCUCAAAAUGGGUGGUAAAUUUCAUCUAAAGCUAAAUAUGGGCCAGAGACCGAUAGCGCACAAGUAGAGUGAUCGAAAGAUGAAAAGCACUUUGGAAAGAGAGUUAAACAGUACGUGAAAUUGUUGAAAGGGAAGCGCUUGCACCCAGACUUGGGCGCUGCUGAUCACCUUGCGGUCUCCGCGAGUGCACUCGACAGCGCACAGGCCAGCAUCGGUUCGGGUGGCUGGAUAAAGGCCGUAGGAACGUAGCUCCCUUCGGGGAGUGUUAUAGCCUACGGUGCCAUGCAGCCCAGCCGGACCGAGGACCGCGCCUUCGGGCUAGGAUGCUGGCGUAAUGGGUGUAAGCGACCCGUCUGAAACACGGACC
rnacentral:rRNA from 1 species